GACGAACGCUGGCGGCGUGCUUAACACAUGCAAGUCGAACGGAAAGACCCUGCUUUUGUGGGGUGCUCGAGUGGCGAACGGGUGAGUAACACGUGAGUAACCUGCCCUUGACUUUGGGAUAACUUCAGGAAACUCGGGCUAAUACCGGAUAGGAUCUCCUGCUGCAUAGUGGUGGUUGGAGAGUUUCGGCGGUUGGGUAUGGACUCGCUGCUUAUCAGCUUGUUGGUGUGGUAGUGGCUUACCAAGGCUUUGACGGGUAGCCGGCCUGAGAGGGUGACCGGCGACCUAGGGACUGAGAGACGGCAGCAGCUGCUACGGGAGGGAACAGGGGGGAAGCUUGCACAAUGGGCGGAAGCUUGAUGAAGAAACUCCGCGUGCGGGAUAACGGUCUUAGGGUUGUAAACCGCUUUCGCAUGUGACGAAGCGUGAGUGACGGUAAUGUGUAAAGAAGCACCGGCUAACUACGUG
rnacentral:rRNA from 1 species